rnacentral:rRNA from 1 species
UACGUAGGGUGCGAGCGUUGUCCGGAAUUAUUGGGCGUAAAGAGCUCGUAGGCGGUCUGUCGCGUCGAAUGUGAAAACCCGGGGCUCAACUCCGGGCUUGCAUUCGAUACGGGCAGGCUAGAGUUCGGUAGGGGAGUCUGGAAUUCCUGGUGUAGCGGUGAAAUGCGUAGAUAUCAGGAGGAACACCGGUGGCGAAGGCGGUUCUCUGGGCAUUACCUGACGCUGAGGAGCGAAAGCGUGGGGAGCGAACAGG